UGAGGAAUCUUGCGCAAUGGGCGGAAGCCUGACGCAGCGACGCCGCGUGAGGGAUGGAGGCCUUCGGGUCGUAAACCUCUGUCAGUGGGGAAGAGAACGGACGGUACCCACUGAGGAAGCAUCGGCUUACUACGUGCCAGCAGCCGCGGUAAUACGUAGGAUGCGAGCGUUGUCCGGAUUUACUGGGCGUAAAGAGCUCGUAGGCGGGGGCGCGCGUCUCGGAGGAAAUUCCAGGGCUCAACCCUGGAGCUUUCCGAGAUACGGCGUCUCUUGAGGGCAGGAGAGGAGAACAGAAUUCCCGGUGUAGCGGUGAAAUGCGUAGAUAUCGGGAGGAAUACCAGUGGCGAAGGCGGUUCUCUGGUCUGUCUCUGACGCUGAGGAGCGAAAGCGUGGGUAGCGAACGGG
rnacentral:rRNA from 1 species